rnacentral:rRNA from 1 species
GCGAAUGGCUCAUUAAAAACAGUUAUAGUUUAUUUGAUAAUCGAAAGUUACAUGGAUAACCGUGACAAAUUACAGCUAAUACAUGCAUCAAGACCUCUAUGAGGUUGUAAUUAUUAGUAUUAAACCAAUUGCUUCGGCAAUGUGAUGAAUCAUAGUAAUCGAACGAAUCGCAGAAUUCUGCGAUAAAUCAUUCAAGUUUCUGCCCUAUCAGCUUUGGAUGGUAGUGUAUUUGGGACUACCAUGGCUAUCACGGGUAACGGAGAAUUAGGGUUCGAUUCCGGAGUAGGGGAGCCUGAGAAACGGCUACCACAUCUACGGAGGGCAGCAGGCGCGAAAAUUGCCCAAUCCUGAUUCAGGGAGGCAGUGACAAGAAUAACAACUACUCAACUUUGUUGUAGAAGUGUAAUGAGGUAUAAUUUACAAACCUUACCGAAGCAAUUGAGGGCAAGUCUUGGUGCCAGCAGCCGCGGUAAUUCCAGCU